rnacentral:tRNA from 1 species
GCCUUCGUGGUUUAGUGGUCAGCACGAUCGGCGCGUAUUCGAGAAUUCCUUGGUUCGAGUCCCGGCGAAGGCG